rnacentral:rRNA from 1 species
UACAGAGGGGGCAAGCGUUGUUCGGAAUUACUGGGCGUAAAGGGCGCGUAGGUGGCCUUCUAAGUUGAACGUGAAAUCCCUGGGCUCAACCCAGGAACUGCGUCCAAGACUGGGAGGCUUGAAUCCGGGAGAGGGAUGCGGAAUUCCAGGUGUAGCGGUGAAAUGCGUAGAUAUUCGGAAGAACACCAGUGGCGAAGGCGGCUCACUGGACUGGUAUUGACGCUGAGGUGCGAAAGCGUGGGGAGCAAACAGG